AUUGAACGCUGGCGGCAGGCCUAACACAUGCAAGUCGAGCGAGCGGCGGACGGGUGAGUAAUGUCUGGGAGACUGCCUGUUGGAGGGGGAUAACUCCUGGAAACGGUAGCUAAUACCGCAUACCAUCAAAUGUGCCCAGAUGGGAUUAGCUGGUAGGUGGGGUAACGGCUCACCUAGGAGACGAUCCCUAGCUGGUCUGAGAGGAUGACCAGCAACACUGGAACUGAGACACGGUCCAUACUCCUACGGGAGGCAGCAGUGGGGAAUAUUGCACAAUGGGCGCAAGCCUGAUGCAGCCAUGCCGCGGGUGUGAAGAAGGCCUUCGGGUUGUAAAGCACUUUCAGCGGGGAGGCGUUACCCGCAGAAGAAGCACCGGCUAACUCCGUGCCAGCCGCCGCGGUAAUAC
rnacentral:rRNA from 1 species